rnacentral:sRNA from 1 species
AGUUACAGUUUGACCCACAGCUACAGUUGUCGCACUCCUUGUUGUAGUUCUUCUCGCAACUAUACCACACACAAAUUAAUCAAACAAACAAAAAA